rnacentral:miRNA from 12 species
ACAAUGCGUCUCAGAAUGUAGU